rnacentral:rRNA from 1 species
UACGUAGGGUGCAAGCGUUGUCCGGAAUUAUUGGGCGUAAAGAGCUCGUAGGCGGUCUGUCGCGUCGGAUGUGAAAGCCCGGGGCUCACCCCCGGAAGGGCAUUGGAAACUGGCGGACUCGAGUCCCGGAGAGGAAGGUGGAAUUCCUGGUGUAGCGGUGAAAUGCGUAGAUAUCAGGAGGAAUACCGGUGGCGAAGGCGGCCUUCUGGACGGUGACUGACGCUGAGACGCGAAAGCGUGGGGAGCAAACAGG